CAGCAGCCACGGGAAUACGUAGGUGGCAAGCGUUGUCCGGAAUUAUUGGGCGUAAAGGGCUCGCAGGCGGUUUCUUAAGCCUGAUGUGAAAGCCCCCGGCUCAACCGGGGAGGGUCAUUGGAAACUGGGAAACUUGAGUGCAGAAGAGGAGAGUGGAAUUCCACGUGUAGCGGUGAAAUGCGUAGAGAUGUGGAGGAACACCAGUGGCGAAGGCGACUCUCUGGUCUGUAACUGACGCUGAGGAGCGAAAGCGUGGGGAGCGAACAGGAUUAGAUACCCCGGUAGUCCCUGUCUCUUAUAC
rnacentral:rRNA from 1 species